rnacentral:rRNA from 1 species
UGCGCCUACGGGGCGCAGCAGUGAGGAAUAUUGGUCAAUGGGCGCGAGCCUGAACCAGCCGAGUAGCGUGAAGGAUGACUGCCCUACGGGUUGUAAACUUCUUUUAUAAAGGAAUAAAGUGAGGCACGUGUGCCUUUUUGUAUGUACUUUAUGAAUAAGGAUCGGCUAACUCCGUGCCAGCAGCCGCGGUAAUACGGAGGAUCCGAGCGUUAUCCGGAUUUAUUGGGUUUAAAGGGUGCGUAGGCGGAAGGUUAAGUCAGCGGUCAAAUGUCGGUGCUCAACACCGGCCUGCCGUUGAAACUGGU